GACAGUGGCCUAAUGGCAAGGCGUUGCUUUCCGGUUUGGUACCUGGCAAAGAUUGGGGGUUCGAGUCCCCCGCGAGUCA